GGUUAGUGGCCAUAUCACUCACAAGGGAACAGGGCAUUUCAUAAUGUCAUAUUGGAAUUCCCAGUGACUCACGCGCUGAGCACUUCAACUCAAACACAUAACACAGCGAGCGCAGUGACAGCUAUCUAGAGCGUGUUUUAGUGUUCAUUUGGUUGAGGAACCGUUUUCCUGCGCGUUCUAUGUAGCCUACCGGUUUUGUCUGCCCUCAGAUGAGGAGUCUAGUUGCAAUGUGGUAGUCUGGCUGAGAGAGAGAGAGAGAGAGAGAGAGAGAUGGUGAUACGCGACCCGCCCCGUGAGGAACGGGAAGGCUCGUGUGGGCGGGCAGCAGUGAGCGGAAACGUGCUUACAGGCAGAGCUUCAUUUCAUCCAGCUUCGUAUCGCAACGUGCUUGCCCUCUCGCGUCAGCUACCGGAAAGUUUAGGUGCCUAGAAACUUCACGGCCGUCUGGGAACUGUGGAUUGUGUGAGAGAUGGAGCUGUUUCUGUCUGUUUAAAGCCCAAGUCCAUGACUUACAAGGCCUGAUGUUCCGAUGGCAUGGCUAGCUGUUCUCUGGAUCCUGGAGUGUCUGACGUGCUCCUCACAUGCUCUUCUAGACGAACCCCCUUCCUGUCUGAUCCCUUUCUCUCAGACGGACAUCUUCUGUGAAUGGACACCAGACGCCGGACUGACCAACUACACGCUUCACUGGAGCUAUGAUGAAGUGGACAAGUCGGAGAAGGCGAGUGGCGGUGGCGGGACCAUUCUGCGGCGGCACUACGACCGGCUGGCCCUGGUGUCCGUGUGGAUAACAGCCUCUGACUCUCAGGGCUCACACACGUCACCCAAGACACACUUCCUUCCCAGCAGCAUCACCCAGCCUCCUCCUCCUGACUCUGUCAGCAGUAUGAGUGUGGAUGGACACAUGGAGGUAUCUUGGAGUUGGGCUCCAGAGUCCGGGC